rnacentral:rRNA from 1 species
GACGAACGCUGGCGGCGUGCCUAAUACAUGCAAGUUGAGCGAUGAAGAUUGGUGCUUGCACCAAUUUGAAGAGCAGCGAACGGGUGAGUAACGCGUGGGGAAUCUGCCUUUGAGCGGGGGACAACAUUUGGAAACGAAUGCUAAUACCGCAUAACAACUUUAAACAUAAGUUUUAAGUUUGAAAGAUGCAAUUGCAUCACUCAAAGAUGAUCCCGCGUUGUAUUAGCUAGUUGGUGAGGUAAAGGCUCACCAAGGCGAUGAUACAUAGCCGACCUGAGAGGGUGAUCGGCCACAUUGAGACUGGGACACGGCCCAAACUCCUACGGGAGGCAGCAGUAGGGAAUCUUCGGCAAUGGACGAAAGUCUGACCGAGCAACGCCGCGUGAGUGAAGAAGGUUUUCGGAUCGUAAAACUCUGUUGGUAGAGGAGAACGGUGGUGGGAGUGGAAAGCUCAUCAAGUGACGGUAACUACCCAGAAAGGGACGGCUAACUACGUG